GGUAAAGUGGCCGAGUAGGUGGCAGGUUGUAGCCCUGAAUACAGAGGUUAAAGUCCUCUCUUUAUCA
rnacentral:tRNA from 1 species